rnacentral:rRNA from 1 species
CGUCCCAGGGUUCGGUGCGGCGGCUACACAUGCAGUCGAGCGGAUGAAGGGAGCUUGCUCCUGGAUUCAGCGGCGGACGGGUGAGUAAUGCCUAGGAAUCUGCCUGGUAGUGGGGGAUAACGUCCGGAAACGGGCGCUAAUACCGCAUACGUCCUGAGGGAGAAAGUGGGGGAUCUUCGGACCUCACGCUAUCAGAUGAGCCUAGGUCGGAUUAGCUAGUUGGUGGGGUAAAGGCCUACCAAGGCGACGAUCCGUAACUGGUCUGAGAGGAUGAUCAGUCACACUGGAACUGAGACACGGUCCAGACUCCUACGGGAGGCAGCAGUGGGGAAUAUUGGACAAUGGGCGAAAGCCUGAUCCAGCCAUGCCGCGUGUGUGAAGAAGGUCUUCGGAUUGUAAAGCACUUUAAGUUGGGAGGAAGGGCAGUAAGUUAAUACCUUGCUGUUUUGACGUUACCAACAGAAUAAGCACCGGCUAACUUCGUGCCAGCAGCCGCGGUAAUACGAAGGGUGCAAGCGUUAAUCGGAAUUACUGGGCGUAAAGCGCGCGUAGGUGGUUCAGCAAGUUGGAUGUGAAAUCCCCGGGCUCAACCUGGGAACUGCAUCCAAAACUACUGAGCUAGAGUACGGUAGAGGGUGGUGGAAUUUCCUGUGUAGCGGUGAAAUGCGUAGAUAUAGGAAGGAACACCAGUGGCGAAGGCGACCACCUGGACUGAUACUGACACUGAGGUGCGAAAGCGUGGGGGAGGCAACAGGGAUUAUAUACCCUGGUAGUCCACGCCGUAAACGAUGU